rfam:Rhizophagus irregularis DAOM 197198w jcf7180003191583, whole genome shotgun sequence.
AUCCUCUCUUGCCUAUUGGCUAAGAUCAAGUGUAGUAUCUGUUCUUUUCAGUCUAAUAUCUGAAACGUUACACACUGUGUAACUUCGAUAUUAACGAAUUUUUGCACUUGGGAAAGAGUCACUUGGCUUGCCAAUACUCUUUCCAUGAGUGUCCCUAGUAUUGCACUACUUCUAGGCGACGCUCACAUUUU